GGCCAUCUGCUUGCCCUUUGGAAAAAAUCAAUGAAUUUGAUUUUUAGACAGUCAGUUCCUUAAGCCUGAAAAUAUUCAUUGGAAUACCAUAGGUGAACAAAGUCCACCCUUUCAGCUCUCAUUGAUUUCUCUUAGUUUGGUCAGAUGCUGUCAGGUCUGGGGAAGUUUGGUGGUGAAAAUCGCACCCGGCAAGGAGCUUGCAUGAACCAGCAGUGCCUCCAUUGCAAAUAGGACAGUGUUCUAAGCAGAGGACAUUUUUUAAGACAACAUGAAUCUUCUCAGAAACAAAUACAAUUUCUGUAACAAAACCCAUUGGAGCAGUAAAAAUACAGUGGAAAUGCCUUCAUAAUUUGGAACUUUAUAACUUCACAUCUCUGUUUGGACCCGCAACCUCUGAAGCACUUCACAGUUAUUUAAGAUUUUGAGACUAUGAUUGACUGUCAGUAACUGCAAUGGCACAAAGGAAACCACGCAUCAGGGGGUCUACUGUACUUGGUUCAGCUACUGGACAACUUUUAUGUACGUUCGGAACCACUUGGGUGUCACAAUAUUCAUAUAAUUAUGACCACCAGGCACACCUUCACAUUGGCAAUGGAGGGAAUCCCCUUAGAUGUCAGAGCCAUCCUUGAAACUCACCCAUCAGGCCCAGACACCAGCAGAUGGGAGACCGAGGCCUGAACGACAGUCACACCCAGCUGCCCUACCCCUGGCUCUCACUUGGACUCUCCAGACAAGAGAGUCUUAGCUAUCAAAGGGACUACAUUUGAUGAGACAAACAUUGGGUUAGAUGCAUGGGGGACUCAAAAUGCAAAAGUAUAAAGUUGAGAACAGCUCUUUGCUUAUAGUUCUUUGAAUACAGGUUUACAGUUGUGAGUACAUAAAAUACAGAGUUAAUAAAGCUAUUGUAACAACCUA